GUUUAUUGCUCAAUCAUCAGGUUACCCUGCCAUGGUGGGAAACUGCCGAUGUGUUAAAAAAAAAAAAAAUAUCUUGAUCACUAGUUUCAAGUUGUGGCACAUCAUCUAACAUCAACUUUUCUGCUGUCAUCGACUGAAGAAAAGAUCAUGCACCAUACUUUACAGCACAGUGGCAAGAUAGUGUGUGUACCCUAAACAGAUAUUUUGUAAUGCAGCAAUACCUAUUUUUAUAGGUAUGACAAAUUGGAUCCUGAGGCAUUAUAUUGUAGUAUGGUAGGAGGAAAUGUGUUCGUCUCAAUGAAAAAAA